rnacentral:piRNA from 1 species
AAGCUGGGUCUGGUGGCAUAUGUUUU